GUGACUCAUCCAGCUAGCAGCCUAGCCGAGAUUAAUCCUUUCCUUGCAAGGAUCUUCACUUAAUGGUCAACCCACUUUCCUAAAGCAAGCGGACCAGGAGUAGGAUGAAGAAAGACUUUUGGAAGCAUCCUUUUGAAUCCUACAUUUUGCUUCUUCAUUUGUCCAUUGAUGGAGGAUAAGAACAUUGCAGUUCAGAGAAUUACUGCAUUUUGGACACCUGAUUUCCCAACAGCGCCCUUUCAACACUACCUUUAUUACUUCUUUAAAAUUAAUGGUGGGGCCGACGCCAUGGUUCACUUGGUUAAUCCUCCACCUGCGGCGCCGGCAUCCCAUAUGGGCGCCGGGUUCUAGUCCCAGUUGCUCCUCUUCCAGUCCAGCUCUCUGCUGUGGCCCGGGAAGGCAGUGGAGGAUGGCCCAAGUGCUUGGGCCCCUCACCUGGCAUGGGAGAUCUGGAGGGGGCACCUGGCUCCUGGCUUCGGAUCGGCACAGCACUGGCCAUGUUGGCCAUUUAGGGGGUGAACCAGCGGAGGGAAGACCUUUCUCUCUCUCUCACUCUCACUGUCUAACUCAUCUGUCAAAUAAAUUUUAAAA